GGGGGCGCACCGGUUUCGACGGGGACAGUCGAUGCCGAGGUUGCAGGUCGAGGCGCCGCUGGCCUCGUAAAAAGCGGCAAGCACUCAAGUGCCAACGACUACGAUUACGCUCUGGCUGCUUAAUAACCAGUCACGAUCCUUCUGACUGACACCCGAUACGUCUGUUAGGAUCGACAAACCCCAUCGGGUCGGCGUGCUAAUGGCGUCCGCCGUAAGCACGCGGCACAAGGCGGACAUGUCGACAUGAUACCUGUUCGGGGGCACGCAUGACGACGAGAAUCAAACCCGGACUAAACCUGUAGAUACCUCGAGCAAAGCGUUCUCGGACGAGGGUUCGAUUCCCUCCGCCUCCACCA
rnacentral:tmRNA from 1 species